GUGUUCACUUUGGCAACAUAUAUACUAAAAUUGGAAUAAUACAGAGAUUAACGUGGCCCUUGACCAAAUAUGACAGGCAGAUUUGUGAAGUGUUUCAGAUUUUU